rnacentral:rRNA from 1 species
GUGGGGAAUCUUGCGCAAUGGGCGAAAGCCUGACGCAGCCAUGCCGCGUGAAUGAUGAAGGUCUUAGGAUUGUAAAAUUCUUUCACCGGGGACGAUAAUGACGGCACCCGGAGAAGAAGCUCCGGCUAACUUCGUGCCAGCAGCCGCGGUAAUACGAAGGGGGCUAGCGUUGCUCGGAAUUACUGGGCGUAAAGGGCGCGUAGGCGGACAGCUUAGUCAGAGGUGAAAGCCCAGGGCUCAACCUUGGAAUUGCCUUUGAUACUGGCUGUCUUGAGUUUGGGAGAGGUGAGUGGAACUCCGAGUGUAGAGGUGAAAUUCGUAGAUAUUCGGAAGAACACCAGUGGCGAAGGCGACUCACUGGCCCAAUACUGACGCUGAGGCGCGAAAGCGUGGGGAGCAAACAGGAUUAGAUACACCAGUAGUCC